rnacentral:rRNA from 1 species
UACGUAGGCAGCGAGCGUUGUUCGGAGUUACUGGGCGUAAAGGGUGUGUAGGCGGUUUUCUAAGUUUGGUGUGAAAUCUCCCGGCUCAACCGGGAGGGUGCGCCGAAAACUGGGAGACUAGAGUGCGGGAUGGGAGAGUAGAAUUCCUGGUGUAGCGGUGAAAUGCGUAGAUAUCAGGAGGAACACCUGUGGUGUAGACGGCUCUCUAGACCGCAACUGACGCUGAGACACGAAAGCGUGGGUAGCAAACAGG